CCGCGGCCGGGCCCGCGCGUGGGACGGCGGAGCGCGCGGGAGGCCCGCAGGGUCCCGGCCCCGGCCCCGGUCCGGCCCCCUCGGCGUCCCCGAGCCACCUGGCCCCGUCCCCUGCCUCGGCACCUGGACGCGGCGCGCCAGCCUGCCAGCGCUCUUGUUUGUGUCCGAGCGCCUGGCCCGACGCACCUCUGCGCCCGCCGACUCCCACGACCCCUGUCUGCUGGCGGCCUCACUCCCCCUUCCGUUACUUUCUGCCUCCCUCUUCUGGAUAUGCACACGGCGCGAGUGCUUCCGAGACCAACUGCUACCAAGACCUUCCUGAGCCCACGCCGGCGGAAGGCCAGGCUGCACCGGUGAACUGAAGUUUCCGGGGAUGUGAGACUUUUUCAUCCUAGCACCUUGAGCCUAGCAUUGCACCAGGAAUCAUUCACACACUCUGGAUUCAGCCACCUCUGAAAAAGCCCCAUCUGGUUCUUCAUGAGGCUUUCGGGGGCAUCUAGACACAGCCACAAGACCCUUCAAAGACUCUGUCUCCAAACACAGUCACAUUCUGCUGUCAACUUGUGAGUUUUCGGGGACACAGCUCAGCCCACGACAGUGCCUCUCCUGAAGGACGUCUCUGCUUCCAGCCCAUCUUGACCUUUGUGGUCACCCUGGCCUUCUUGCACUUCAACGCACGCCGCCUCAGUACAUUGCCAGGUUCCCCUGCCAGGACAGCGCCUCCCCAGCACCCUCUCUGGCUCCACCACUCCUUCCUGUACUUACUCCCAAGCCACUUGCUCAGCGAGACCUUUGCCACCUUACCCAAAGUCACAUCCCUUCUCAUUGACACUUUGUGUCUCCAUUCCUUGCUGUGGUGGAAAGAAUGAUGGUCCCUGAAGAAGAACCACAAAUGUGUUACCUGAAAUGGCACAAGGGACCCUGCCGCUGUGCCUGCGUUAAGGGCCUCGAGAUGGAGAGGUGAUCCUGGGCCGGCUCCAGCGUCAUCGAAGGGGUCAGAGUCAGACAAGAGAUGUGAUGGCAGAUGCCGGGGCAGGGUGGGGGCCUGAUGGUAAGAUGCUGCUGUGGCAGCUUGAAAGGCAGAGGAAGGGGCCACGAGCCAAGGAGUGUAGACGUCUCUGGAAGCCAGAAAAGGCAAGAACUUAGACUCUUUCCCAGAAACCCCAGAAAAAAACCCAGCUGUAUUGACCUAUGCUGGACUUCUGACCUUUGGAACAACAUAAUAAACUCAUGUUGCUUAAGCCACUUAAAUCCAUGCUAAUUUUCCUAAUAAUAGGAAGCUAAUACCCUUCCUUGGUUUUUUUCUUAGCACUUACUCAUGUCUAAAUGACCUCCUACUUAUCUUGAAUAUGUCCAUGCCGCCCAUUAGAACAUGAGUUCCAUUGGCCAGGAUCUUGUCUGUUUUUUUCUCCAUUCUAACCCCAGCCCCUAUAACAGUGCCUGACGCAUAGUAGGUGCCUGAUGCAAAGUGUGUGCCAAACUAGUGGCUUCCCUGUUAAAUUGUAACUGCCAUGCAGACAAGGACCACAGUGUACCUGGGAAUACAGAGACUUCCCUUCAGCUGCAGAAGCUCCCCUCUCUGCAUGCCAGGCACAUAGUAAGUGCUCAAUAAAACCUAGCUGAAUUAAAACAGAAGUUGCACACAA